rnacentral:lncRNA from 1 species
AUUCGUUUGGCCGCGCUUCCGCCGCGGACCCGAUCGAGCCGCGGUUCUUCUGUCUUUAGUGGGGUGUCGAGGGGAGGGCGGUAGGAAUGUCCGGCGGAGCCCUGGGCCGUGGGAAUCCAGAGGCUGGCUGGGUUCGCUCCGGGACUCGUUCCCCGGGCCCCUCCGCCCCUCGCGAGGCGCUAAGGUGGCAGCCCAGUCGGGCAUCACCCUUCGAAGUCCCCUCUUCUGACACACCCCUGUGAGGGGCCUGUGGCCCUAGUUCCCGUACCUUCGAUGCCCCCUUGUCCCUACCCCUUCCCACCAAAAGAACCCAAGUCGCUUAACUCUGGCACCUGAUCCUAAAUGGUUUAAUGGAGCUACUUGGGCUAGAUCGGGGGCGGAAUACGGGUUGGUUUUGUUUUGCUUUUUGCUUCGGGUGUGGAGAGAGAGCGAGCUGAUUCUCUACCAGUAAGACCUAGCCCUGGAAAAGAAAGAAAAAUUGUUUUGCUUUACAGCCCACUGGUCCCGUCUCCGAGAAAACGUGGUCUGUAUCUCCAGGUUCUAGGAGUCCUAAAGAACUGGACUACUAGGCUAGGCCGGGCGCUCGACCAAUUUGUUCGCCACUCUCGGGGCGGGGGAAGAGAUAGGACCGAGCGAAGUGGAGGGAAAUCGAAAUUUGGGCAAAAGGAGUGGAGGGGGACCUACCCCGCCUCCCCCGCGCAUCCACUGCCUUCCUGGGCGGGUGCAACCACGCGAAAUGGUUGGGAAUUUAGGUUACUUCGCAUCCUGCCUUCCCAUCCCUCCCCCAAGAUGUUUGAAGUGCGAAAAGACCCUUUCUGCUCCUCCGACCCCUGUUAACUAAAAUCUUUGUCACCCUUUUUUUUUGUUUGUUUCGAAUCCAGUGUAUUGGACCUUUGACCGCCAAGAGCUCUUUACUCGGGGGAGAAAAACUCGAGGAGGGCCUAUCCCCUCCAAAGCGCCGCUUUUUCCUUGGACAGGAAGAAGUGACCUAUUGCAGUGUCUCCAUUGCUGUUAUAGAAGUUCGUAGAUUCAUAAAAUAGUGUUUGCUUAAGAAGUCUUCGUUUCUGUUCCAUUUUUGAAAUUUUGGUUAAAAUAUUUCUUAAAUAUUAAAUUACAUUUCAAUUAGAAGAAAAGAAAUAAAACGUAUUAAUAACAAAACAAAUUUUCCAACUGAGAAAUAGGGUGAGCCCCGUGUAAAUCAUGAAGCUUUCACCCCGAUAUCACUUCUGAAACAUUCCUAAUGUAAUAUAACGAUUAUUUUCAGUCCUUAAAUUAUAUUCCUUCCAUAUCUCUUGUUAGUUUCUCUCCCAUCCUCUGUGCUUAUUGUUUUUUCUGCAACUUUACAAAAAGAGUUAUAGUAUAUUUAAUCAACUGGACAAUAAAAGUUAAACAGA